CCGGCUAAAAAUCGCCUCAGAUUCUGACGUCUGGCCGGGGCAGCCCGCAGGGAGGCGGGCUGAGGCGAAACGAGGCAUGGAUGCCGAGUCGAGCCGUACCCGAAAGCCAGACGUCAGAAUCUGAGGUUCCGCGCAGC
rfam:Pluralibacter gergoviae strain JS81F13 contig_15, whole genome shotgun sequence.